GGAGAUGUUUCCUCAGCUGUGGGUGAAAUUGAACCGCCAAGGUCAACCAACUUCCCAUCCACAAAUAGCUUCAUGAUGUCAAAGUUUGGAUCCUCGAGGGGAGUGUUGUAAAAAUAGUGACACUGCCCUAUACCUUGUUGAAAGCCAAGUUCACGUUCCUGGCAUACUUGAUCCUCAAGGGCUGAUUUUUCUUUCAGCAACAUGUCUCGUUCAGCAACAGCACUAAGUUUUUCCUUCAGUAAUUCAGCAUAGUCGGACUUAGCCUUAUCAUAGUUGACUUGCAGAGUGUCAACCGAAGACUGCAAAGAAGCCACUUUCUUUUGGGAGGCAUCCAGGGCAGUUUUAGCUUUAAUUCUGGCGUCCUCCGCAGCCUUGGUUAUUUC
rnacentral:lncRNA from 1 species